rnacentral:rRNA from 1 species
UACGGAGGGGGCGAGCGUUGUUCGGAAUUACUGGGCGUAAAGGGCGCGUAGGCGGCUUUUUAAGUCGGUGGUGAAAUCCCGUGGCUCAACUGCGGAACUGCCAUCGAUACUGGAAAGCUUGAAUCCGGAAGAGGUCGGCGGAAUUACUGGUGUAGCGGUGAAAUGCGUAGAUAUCAGUAGGAACACCGAUGGCGAAGGCAGCUGGCUGGACCGGUAUUGACGCUGAGGCGCGAAAGCGUGGGGAUCAAACAGG